rnacentral:rRNA from 1 species
CCUACGGGGGGCAGCAGUGGGGAAUAUUGGACAAUGGGGGGAACCCUGAUCCAGCCAUGCCGCGUGUGUGAAGAAGGCCCUCGGGUUGUAAAGCACUUUCAGUGAGGAAGAACGCCUGGUGGUUAAUACCCAUCAGGAAAGACAUCACUCACAGAAGAAGCACCGGCUAACUCCGUGCCAGCAGCCGCGGUAAUACGGAGGGUGCGAGCGUUAAUCGGAAUUACUGGGCGUAAAGCGCGCGUAGGUGGCUUGAUAAGCCGGUUGUGAAAGCCCCGGGCUCAACCUGGGAACGGCAUCCGGAACUGUCAAGCUAGAGUGCAGGAGAGGAAGGUAGAAUUCCCGGUGUAGCGGUGAAAUGCGUAGAGAUCGGGAGGAAUACCAGUGGCGAAGGCGGCCUUCUGGACUGACACUGACACUGAGGUGCGAAAGCGUGGGUAGCAAACAGGAUUAGAUACCCUAGUAGUU